CAACUUUCAACAACGGAUCUCUUGGCUCUCGCAUCGAUGAAGAACGCAGCGAAACGCGAUAUGUAAUGUGAAUUGCAGAAUUCAGUGAAUCAUCGAAUCUUUGAACGCACCUUGCGCCUUUUGGUAUUCCGAAAGGCAUGCCUGUUUGAGUGUC
rnacentral:rRNA from 1 species